UAUGUAAUGUGUUAUUUUUGAAAUUCAUUUUAUAAAUUAUAGAGUUUGGAGGGUACUAAUUUUUAUUAAAAGAUUUCAAAUAAAUUUAUUUUAGAGAAAGAAAGAUAGAAUUGAAAAAACAUAUAUAUAUUAUAAUAAAGACCUUUUAUUAACAAAUUUCGGAGUAGCCUAGUGGUAAGCAUGCAUUAUUGAUUGGUGGAGGUCCAAGGUUCGAGCCUUGACAAAGGCAAUAAAAUUUUUUCACCAAAAACGGGCCGG
rnacentral:lncRNA from 1 species